AGGUGGUCGAGUGACCCCCCGUCAAGGAACUCGGCAAUUUGGCCCCGUAACUUCGGAAGAAGGGGUGCCCCUGUCCGUGAACGGGCUUGCCCCAGGAGCGGACGGGGGUCGCAGCGAAGCGGCCCAAACGACUGUUUAACAAAAACACAGGUCUCUGCCAAAGCGUAAGCUGAGGUAUAGGGGCUGACACCUGCCCGGUGCCGGAAGGUUAAGGGGCGGGCUGAUAAGGCUCAAACCGAAGCCCCGGUGAACGGCGGCCGUAACUAUAACGGUCCUAAGGUAGCGAAAUUCCUUGUCGGGUAAGUUCCGACCCGCACGAAUGGUGUCACGAGUUGGGCGCUGUCUCGACGGGGGGCUCGGCGAAAAUGCAGGACCCGUGAAGAUGCGGGUUACCCGCUGCAGGACAAAAAGACCCCGUGGAGCUUUACUGUAGCUUGGCGUUGAAGGCGGGCCAGGGAUGCGUAGGAUAGGUGGGAGGCUGUGAAACCCCAACUCCGGUUGGGAUGGAGCCAACCUUGAAAUACCACUCUUCCCUAGUUUACCUCCUAACUCCGCGUACAGCGGAAGACAGCGCCUGGUGGGCAGUUUGACUGGGGCGGUCGCCUCCUAAAAGGUAACGGAGGCGUCCAAAGGUCCCCUCAGGCUGGAUGGAAAUCAGCCGUCGAGCGCAUUGGUAUAAGGGGGCUUGACUGCGAGGCCUACAAGCCGAGCAGGGGCGAAAGCCGGGCAAAGUGAUCCUACGGUUCCGUGUGGAAGGGCC
rnacentral:rRNA from 1 species